GGUUUCAUACUGUAGUGGUUAGCACAUCUGCUUUACACGCAGACGGUACUGGGUUCACGUCCCAGUGGAGCCA
rnacentral:tRNA from 1 species